GACGUAGGGCGCGAGCGUUUGUCCGGAUUUAUUGGGCGUAAAGAGCUCGUAGGCGGCUUGUCGCGUCGAAUGUGAAAACUCGGGGCUCAACCCCGCGCUUGCAUUCGAUACGGGCAGGCUCGAGUUCGGUAGGGGAGACUGGAAUUCCUGGUGUAGCGGUGAAAUGCGCAGAUAUCAGGAGGAACACCGGUGGCGAAGGCGGGUCUCUGGGCCGAUACUGACGCUGAGGAGCGAAAGCGUGGGGAGCGAACAGG
rnacentral:rRNA from 1 species